GGAUUACCCUAGUACGGCGAGUGAACCGGGAAGAGCUCAAAUUUGUAAUCUGGCUGUCUUCGAUAGUCCGAGUUGUAAUCUAUAGAAGCGUUUUCCGUGCUGAACUGUGUAUAAGUCCCUUGGAACAGGGUAUCAAAGAGGGUGACAAUCCCGUACUUUACACAAUCAUCAGUGCUCUGUGAUACGUUCUCUACGAGUCGAGUUGUUUGGGAAUGCAGCUCAAAAUGGGUGGUAAAUUCCAUCUAAAGCUAAAUAUUGGCGAGAGACCGAUAGCGAACAAGUACCGUGAGGGAAAGAUGAAAAGCACUUUGGAAAGAGAGUUAAACAGUACGUGAAAUUGUUAAAAGGGAAACGAUUGAAGUCAGUCGUGUUUAUUGGAUUCAGCCGGUCUUCGGUGUACUUCCUUUAAACGGGUCAACAUCAGUUUUGUUCGGUGGAUAAAGAUGCUAGGAAUGUAGCUUCCUCGGAAGUGUUAUAGACUAGUAUUGCAUACACUGGAGGAGACUGAGGACUGCAGCUCGCCUUUUGGCCGGGGUUCGCCCACGUUCGAGCUUAGGAUGUUGACAUAAUGGCUUUAAACGACCCGUCUAAAAACCAGGGCAAA
rnacentral:rRNA from 1 species